rnacentral:sRNA from 1 species
GUUAGGCAUAGUGAGGCACACCUGUAAUCCCAGCAACUCAGGAGGCUGAGGCAGGAGAAUCACAAGUGCAAAGCCAGCCUGGGCAAUUUAGUGAGACCCUGUCUCAA